GCUGGCAAGUGAUGAACAGAUAUCCUACACUCUCAAUGGAAAAUUCCACGUGUGGACUAAUAAUCUCCGCUUAUUAUCUGAUGCCUUG
rfam:Triticum aestivum genome assembly, contig: Triticum_aestivum_CS42_TGACv1_scaffold_306882_4AS